ACAGGUUGCACCAAGGAGUAGGCACUAAUAAAACAGAACUAUUGAGUUAUCCUUGGGUCAGAGACGAAUAACACAUAGACGAGCUCUAUUAACCAAAAAAAUCAUACGAUAUUAAUUAAAUCAACAGGCAACCUUUUAGCAUAACUGCAAAUAAAUAAGAAAAAAAAGUCUCACGAAUGGGAAAAAAUUGAGACAAUGGUUUCUAUUGCUCUUUGGCAAAAUAGAUA
rnacentral:lncRNA from 1 species